CUCUCCUUGUGUCUAGGUGACACUGUCAGUCAAAGACCCACGGGGGCUGGCGCUGCAGGAAGAAAUGGAAAUGGGACUUGGCACAGUUUAACCCCCGCCCCUACCACCACCAUGGCUUAUCACCUAUACAAGGGAGUUCAGCAUUGAAGAAAAGAAAAAGGAGCAGAUGAAAAGAUUUGAUUUUGAUAUUCUCCUAGAUUUCUGACCAGACUUGGGUUGAAAUGCCGAAUUACCAUGUGAAAACCCAGUGGCAGGGUACCGUCUUCUAAUUUAAAGCAAAACAAGAAAAAGGGCCACCCUUUACCACGGUUCAGAAAAACCUGGAACAUGGUAUCAUGAACCAAAGAAGUUUGGGAACCCCAGGCUUCACUGGAAGCAGAGCAGCAAAGAAGGAGAGAAGAGAAGAAGCAGCUUAACAUCAGUGAGAAGCAGCUUGACUUCAGAGGGACGGCUUGAUGGUGGAAUCUCAGAGAGAGUUCAGCUGGGGACGGCCAGACUCCAGGAGAAGAUCACAUUCCCACUCCAUUCCCUUUCCAGCUCUCCAUCCCACUGACAGCCACUUUCAUCAGCAAUAAAAUCUCCUGAAUUUACCAUCUUCAACUCAUUUGUGUGACCCAAUUCUUCCUGGACACCGAACAAGAGCUCGAGAUACAGAGGGUUGUCACACUGAGCUGUUAAACACCUAAGCUGUCCACGGAUGGCAAAGCUAAAAGAGCACACUGUAAC
rnacentral:lncRNA from 10 species